rnacentral:rRNA from 1 species
AGGGAAUCUUCGGCAAUGGACGCAAGUCUGACCGAGCAACGCCGCGUGUGUGAAGAAGGCCUUCGGGUUGUAAAGCACUUUCAGCGGGGAGGAAGGCGUUAAGGUUAAUAACCUUGGCGAUUGACGUUACCCGCAGAAGAAGCACCGGCUAACUCCGUGCCAGCAGCCGCGGUAAUACGGAGGGUGCAAGCGUUAAUCGGAAUUACUGGGCGUAAAGCGCACGCAGGCGGUCUGUCAAGUCGGAUGUGAAAUCCCCGGGCUCAACCUGGGAACUGCAUUCGAAACUGGCAGGCUAGAGUCUUGUAGAGGGGGGUAGAAUUCCAGGUGUAGCGGUGAAAUGCGUAGAGAUCUGGAGGAAUACCGGUGGCGAAGACGGCCCCCUGGACAAAGACUGACGCUCAGGUGCGAAAGCGUGGGGAGCAAAC